rnacentral:rRNA from 1 species
AACGGGUGAGUAAUACAUAAGUAACCUGCCCUAGACAGGGGGAUAACUACUGGAAACGAUAGCUAAGACCGCAUAGGUACGGACACUGCAUGGUGACCGUAUUAAAAGUGCCUCAAAGCACUGGUAGAGGAUGGACUUAUGGCGCAUUAGCUGGUUGGCGGGGUAACGGCCCACCAAGGCGACGAUGCGUAGCCGACCUGAGAGGGUGACCGGCCACACUGGGACUGAGACACGGCCCAGACUCCUACGGGAGGCAGCAUG